AACUCAAAGGAAUUGGCGGGGGCCCGCACAAGCGGCGGAGCAUGCGGAUUAAUUCGAUGCAACACGAAGAACCUUACCAAGGCUUGACAUGAACCGGAAAGGCGUAGAAAUACGUCCCCCACUUGUGGUCGGUUUACAGGUGGUGCAUGGUUGUCGUCAGCUCGUGUCGUGAGAUGUUGGGUUAAGUCCCGCAACGAGCGCAACCCUCGUUCUAUGUUGCCAGCACGUGAUGGUGGGGACUCAUAGGAGACUGCCGGGGUCAACUCGGAGGAAGGUGGGGAUGACGUCAAAUCAUCAUGCCCCUUACGUCUUGGGCUUCACGCAUGCUACAGUGGCCGGUACAAAGGGUUGCGAUACUGUGAGGUGGAGCUAAUCCCAAAAAGCCGGUCUCAGUUCGGAUUGGGGUCUGCAACUCGACCCCAUGAAGUCGGAGUCGCUAGUAAUCGCAGAUCAGCAACGCUGCGGUGAAUACGUUCCCGGGCCUUGUACACACCGCCCGUC
rnacentral:rRNA from 1 species